rnacentral:lncRNA from 1 species
GUUUGUUGUUAUGGCUGUUUUUACUUCUGUUUAGAAGGCAACCCAGCUAAGAGCUAGAGUUUCAGUGACAUGAAGAAUGUGAAGUGAACCACCUAUCACCAUGCUACUAUAACACUUCAUGACACUUUCUUAAGCAUCAGGAAAUGUAUCUCAACAUGAGGAGUAAGACUUUUUGUUCCUGUGAUUUCCAUUUUUACGGUUUUUUCAUCAUGAAAAUUGCAGUGUGCUUCUUAGAAAAGAGCACACGGUUUUUUUAUGGAAUCGUGUGGUCCUGGCAUGGAGAUUCUUGUGCCA